AGUGAACGCUGGCGGUAGGCCUAACACAUGCAAGUCGAACGGCAGCACAGUAAGAGCUUGCUCUUACGGGUGGCGAGUGGCGGACGGGUGAGGAAUACAUCGGAAUCUACUUUUUCGUGGGGGAUAACGUAGGGAAACUUACGCUAAUACCGCAUACGACCUACGGGUGAAAGCAGGGGAUCUUCGGACCUUGCGCGAUUGAAUGAGCCGAUGUCGGAUUAGCUAGUUGGCGGGGUAAAGGCCCACCAAGGCGACGAUCCGUAGCUGGUCUGAGAGGAUGAUCAGCCACACUGGAACUGAGACACGGUCCAGACUCCUACGGGAGACAGCAGUGGGGAAUAUUGGACAAUGGGCGCAAGCCUGAUCCAGCCAUACCGCGUGGGCGAAGAAGGCCUUCGGGUUGUAAAGCCCUUUUGUUGGGAAAGAAAAGCAGCAGGUUAAUACCCCGCUGUUCUGACGGUACCCAAAGAAUAAGCACCGGCUAACUUCGUG
rnacentral:rRNA from 1 species